rnacentral:rRNA from 1 species
UACGAAGGGGGCUAGCGUUGCUCGGAAUCACUGGGCGUAAAGCGCACGCAGGCGGAUUGUUAAGUCAGGGGUGAAAUCCUGGAGCUCAACUCCAGAACUGCCUUUGAUACUGGCAAUCUCGAGUUCGGGAGAGGUGAGUGGAACUGCGAGUGUAGAGGUGAAAUUCGUAGAUAUUCGCAAGAACACCAGUGGCGAAGGCGGCUCACUGGCCCGAUACUGACGCUGAGGUGCGAAAGCGUGGGGAGCAAACAGG